AACCGUGGCAGUGUACGCCGCAUUUAAGCAAUCAAUUUAACGAUUGAAACUACAUAUUCAAAUUUUUUUAAAGGCUAUAGGAAUUACUAUCUAGUACCUUUCGAGGUAUAUUGAGGAGACAAUGCGCCACACAUUUUUUUUAAUAGUAUGCACAGAUAUGCUAAGUACAGUAUUUGGAUGUCCUACAUCAGUGUCUGGAUCGACGUAUCAUUGCGUCGGUAGUAGUAUUACGACAGUACCGUCUGGAAUUCCAAAUACAACAACAGUUUUGUUCCUGAAUAGAAAUCAAAUCAUUGAGAUUAAGGUAGAUGCAUUCCAAGGCAUGACGGUUCUUGAAGAGUUG